UACAGAGGGGUGCAACGUGUUCGGAUUUACUGGGCGUAAAGCGCGUGUAGGCUGGCUUCGCAAGUCGGGAUGUGAAGCCCUGGGCUCAACCCAGGAAGUGCAUUCGAAACUGCAGAGCUGGAGUCCUGGAGAGGAAGGCGGAAUUCUCGGUGUAGAGGUGAAAUUCGUAGAUAUCGAGAGGAACACCGGUGGCGAAGGCGGCCUUCUGGACAGUGACUGACGCUG
rnacentral:rRNA from 1 species